rnacentral:misc_RNA from 1 species
GAAAUGCGAUACGCAAUGCGAAUUGCAGAAUUCCGCGAAUCAUCAGAUUCUUGAACGCAACUGGCGCUGGAGGGAUAUCCUUCCAGCAUGUCUGUUUCAGUGUCUGAAAACUUCCUAUAUCAUUCUAAUGUGUUUGACUAGGAAUAAUAAUCAAUUUUUAUUUCCAAGUCUUACAUGAAAGAUGUAUGUGUGGGUCUUUGGAUCCAUCGAAUUUGUCAUCGAUUUCUUCGGUGAUUUCGAUUGGAUGUCACCAAUUACUUGUAUACACAUAGAACAUUUAUUUAUUACUUUAUCAUCUGCAUCUGAAAUCAGGCAAGAAAACCCGCUGAACUUAA